GGACGUGGUCAUGGAGGAGCCCAGUCUCAGGCAACCCGCAUGGCCUGCAUUCGCGGCAAGGAGCCACCGAACCCUGCUCCGGUGCCGGCGGGCGGCGGCCACGGGAGUGGAGCUGUCGGACGGAGGAGGGAUAGCACGCCCGAGCGGACGCAGUGGAGGGCGUGUGCCGCACAUAGGCCAGGGUAGCUUGGUGGGGGGUGGCAGCGGCAUUGGAGGAGGCGGGGAUGUAUUGUGCGGCGGCGUUCUUCGCCGGAACUGGGACAGAGAUCUGCGGCAGCUAUGAAGCCUCCAACUUCCGGUCCGAGGUGAGUCUCCAGCAUUCCCAAAUCUGGAUUAUGAAAUCCCUCUUACGGUGGUGUGUAAUCUGCCGUGAGCCUCCCCAAAUCUUCCAACUCCCUGUCCAAUUCAAGCUAAUCACAAAGACUGAUCUCUCUCAUGCCGUUAAUUCGCCGAGUGUGUGUAUUUACUGCAACCACACCAUUUUUUCCACCAAAUAAGCGGUCAAACACGCCACCGCCAGUAGUAACACACUUACGCACUGAAUCGGUCCAAGUCUAUAAGACUACAAAGCAGACUGCACUACAGGCCGCUGCCGACAAUCACAGCCAACAGUAAACACAAUCUCCAUCACCUAAUAAUCUUCUCAUGUGGAAAAAAAGAAUCUGACACGCACCUUUGUAGAAAAUCUACACAAUACAGUUAACACACAAACCGGCAUGCAUGAAAAUAUCUACACUGUACACACCAUAUACACAACUAUACGUGUGGACUUUGUACCUCAUGAAGAAAUCAGCAAGCCAGUAGCAAAAUGACUCCCAGGAAGCAUCAUCGCCACGGCCUCCUGUUCCUGCUCAUAUGGUCCUACUCCAUCAUAGAUGCUGCAUCGGUAGCCAAGCAUAAUACAAAUGGUAUCCUGAAUGGAACAUACAAAUAAUGAAAUAUUUGUACUUAAUUUUACACAUACAAGCAGUCAAGCACCUGCCUUAAAAAGACAUUACUACAAGUUUGACUGGAUAGCACUCCUGAUAAGACAAAUCGAUGCCAUACUUACUAAUGGAGACAAAUUCUCCAGUUUGCAAGUAAUCUACAAACACGAUAUUUUCCACCAGCACAAAGAGGUGCUGCUAACCUUGUGAUGGUUUCCUAAUGCGGAUUCCCCACCACAUUACAAUUGCAGCUGCAAAUCCGACACCAAAUCCAAGUCCAAUAAAGAGAAACAAUAUAAUAUCCAUCGGUUCCCUCUUCCAAGGAUGUGGCAUCAUGUUUGGUGUGGUGUCUUCGCACUCCUUGGACAACGGGGAUCCACACAGGCCAAUGUUCCCCAUGAAUGAGAGAUUGGAGUAUGUCUGGAAAUGACAUGAUCCUGGUAUUCUCCCAACCAACUGAUUGUAAGACAGGUUCAACACUGAGAGGAAGUCCAGCCAAGCUAACUCUUGUGGUAUCUCUCCGGACAGGUCAUUUGAAGAGAGGUCCAGUGACUCGAGUUGAUGUAGAGCACCGAGUUGGGUUGGAAUUGUUCCAGUGAGAGCAUUAUGUGACAUGUUCAGCUCACAAAGAAGAACAAGCUCUGCAACUGACUCGGGAAUGACACCAUUGAAUCCAUUAUCGGAGACAUCGAUGACUACAAGGGUCUUCAGAAUCUUGUUAAGUAUGACAACGUAUCCUUUGUAUGUGAUUUCAGCAGUAAACUCAUGUUCUCUCCCGUCCGCCAAAUAAAGACCAUGCUGGUUUGGCAUCAACGACGUGUCAUCCGUAGAUUUAGCCGUCAUAGAUUUCAAACUCUUCAACCACUUGUUUGUCAAUGUGCUAGAGAAAUUGUUUGAAGCCAAAGACAAAAUCCGAAGUUUCAUGAACUCACAAUUCUCUUCUGCCGUCCCUAAAACAGAAGUCCCGACCUUCCCAAAGAACUUAUUAGACUUGAGGACAAGGACUUGAAGUUCAGUAAGCGUACUCAUCCAACACGGAAAAGUAUCAUUGAUAUGAUUAUUUCCAAUGUCAAAAACCUGCAAGCUUCUACAAGCAACUAGAGAUCUUGGUAGUUGUCCUUCAAUUUGGUUGUCACUGAGGUCUAAUCCAUAGAAUCCACAACCUUGCUUGAUACGAUGCGGUAGUUCUCCUUGAAGUUUAUUUGCUUUCAACUUUAAUACCCUUAGAGAAUUUAAAUCCUCCAUUAAACAAGAUGGGAUGGGGCCACUUAGAUUGUUGUAAGAGAGAUCAAGGAGCGCUAGGUCCCUUGCAUCACAAAUUGAUGGUGGAAUUUCUCCGGAGAGAUUGUUUCCGGAGGCCUUGAGAUAUAUAACACCACUGAGUUGAGAACCAAAAUUAGUUGGGAUAGAUGAGAACUGAUUGUCUGAGCAAUCAUAAGAACUGGUGUAGGGUCCAGGUAUAGGCAUGGGCCCUUCCAAUAGGUUAGAACUGAGAUCAAAAAGUGAUAUGCCAAUUGGAAGAGCAUAGUCAUACCCUAUACUAUUGAAUUGGUUGUGCGAUAAGUUUAGGACCGAACGAUUGUCCCAAACCCAAUGUGGUAUAGCGCCAUGGAUUUGAUUAUCUGAGAGGUCAAGGUAAUAAAGCGUUUGGAGAUUCCUCAAGGAAUCAGGGAACUUGGAUAUGUUACAAGACGCUAGUCGCAAAGAGGACAACCAAUUCGGUAUGAGUAUAGAGUUAUGUUCCCCGUCUAUCACAGAAAGUCUGUUAUAGGAAAGACUCAGAUGAUACAGAUUUGGUAGUUCCAAGAAUGAACUGAGUUCCACUGUACCGGCGAAGUUGUUUGAGUUAAGAUAUAUGGUUUCUAAUUGAGUUAGAUUAAAUAUCUGUGGAGGUAUUGGACCAGAAAAGUUGCAUUUGUAAAGUGCUAACCACUCUAGUUUCUUGAGAUUACUUAUUGAAGAAGGUAUUUCUCCAAAUAAACCACAGUUAGAGAACUGGAGAUGAACUAAAGAAGUUAAUUUUGUGACCCAAGAUGGAAGUUUUCCUACUACAGCAGCUCCAGAUAUCUCUAACCAAUCUAAGGAUGUGAG
rnacentral:lncRNA from 1 species